AAUAAAUGCAAUUAUGAGUUUCUGUGUCCAACUUUAUCAUCCGUCUUAUUUAAUUUUUUUUAUGAUUAGUAUUUUUAUUGUUACUAGAUUAUAAAAUAUAAAUAGUACUUUAUGCGUGACUUAUGCUUUUUAGUUUUUUCAAAAAAAAUUUCAAAUAAACCGGACGAUCAAAGUUGGAUACGAAAACUCAUGGCUGUGCUUAUU
rfam:Oryza glumipatula chromosome 1, whole genome shotgun sequence.